AAAAAGAUAAACCCUGGUUUCUGUGCCCAACGUUUGACCGUCCAUCUUAUUUGAAAAAAAUUAAAAGACAAGUCACGCAUAAAAUAUUAAUCAUGUUUUAUCAUCUAACAACAAUGAAAAUACGAAUUAUAAAAAAAAUUCAUAUAAGAUGGACAGUCAAAGUUAGACACGGAAACACAGGGUUUGCCUUUAUU
rfam:Oryza glumipatula chromosome 1, whole genome shotgun sequence.